UGCGUAGGUGGUCCGUUAAGUCCGUUGUGAAAGCCCUGGGCUCAACCCAGGAACUGCUUCGGAUACUGGCGGACUUGAGGCUAGUAGAGGUCACUGGAACUGACGGUGGAGCGGUGAAAUGCGUAGAUAUCGUCAGGAACGCCAAUGGUGAAGACAGGUGACUGGGCUAGUUCUGACACUGAGGCACGAAAGCGUGGGGAGCGAACGGGAUUAGAUACCCCGGUAGUCCACGCCCUAAACGAUGCAGACUAGACUGCAGCGGGUUACACCCCGUUGCGGUCGGAGCGAAAUUGUUAAGUCUGCCACCUGGGAAGUACGGUCGCAAGGCUAAA
rnacentral:rRNA from 1 species